rnacentral:rRNA from 1 species
GGCGUAAUGCGCGCGUAGGCGGAUUGUUAAGUCAGGUGUGAAAUCCCGGGGUAAUGAUCCGAACUGCAUUUGAUACUGGCGAGCUAGAGUCCGGGAGAGGUGAGUGGAAUUCCCAGUGUAGAGGUGAAAUGCGUAGAUAUUCGGAAGAACACCAGUGGCGAAGGCGGCUCACUGGGCCGGUACUGACGCUGAGGCGCGAAAGCGUGGGGAGCAAACAGGAUUAGAUACCCUGGUAGUCCACGCCGUAAACGAUGAGUACUAGAUGUUGGGGGGCUUGCCCUUCUGUGGGGCAACUAAAACGUUAAAAAUCCCCCCUGGGGGGAGCGCGCGCAAGAUUAAAACUCU